ACCAGUCGCAUAUGGCCUCUCGGUCCUUCCUUCCUUCCUUCCUUCCCAGGGUUCAAUGAGCGCCGUGUGGCCCCACCCUCAGCGCCGUCUGCCUCUUCAAUGUAGCCUACUCUUCUCGGAGGAAGAGAAAGGAAGAAAAUAAUAACAACUCCCUCCUGAGGACUCGCUUCUAGAACCGUGUAUCACCUCCUUCGUCCAGCGCGCGGCGGCGGCCCCCUUCCCCCGGAGAGGAGCGGCCUUUCACGGAUUCACCUGGAGCUUCCAUUAAAUGAAGGAAUAAACAGGCUGUCCGUGCGCAGUUUUCUGGAGACUCUGUGGUGAUGUGAAGGACUGAUAACACAUUUCUGCAACAAAAGAGAGGGAGGGGG